GAUGAACGCUAGCUACAGGCUUAACACAUGCAAGUCGAGGGGCAGCAUUGGAGUAGCAAUACUUCAGAUGGCGACCGGCGCACGGGUGAGUAACACGUAUCCAACCUGCCGCUUACUCGGGGAUAGCCUUUCGAAAGAAAGAUUAAUACCCGAUGGUAUAAAGAGUUCGCAUGUUCUCUUUAUUAAAGAACUUCGGUAAGCGAUGGGGAUGCGUUCCAUUAGAUUGUUGGCGGGGUAACGGCCCACCAAGUCUACGAUGGAUAGGGGUUCUGAGAGGAAGGUCCCCCACAUUGGAACUGAGACACGGUCCAAACUCCUACGGGAGGCAGCAGUGAGGAAUAUUGGUCAAUGGACGAGAGUCUGAACCAGCCAAGUAGCGUGAAGGAUGACUGCCCUAUGGGUUGUAAACUUCUUUUACAAGGGAAUAAAGUGAGGGACGUGUCCCUUUUUGUAUGUACCUUAUGAAUAAGGAUCGGCUAACUCCGUGCCAGCCGCCGCGGUAA
rnacentral:rRNA from 1 species